rnacentral:rRNA from 1 species
UACGGGGGGGGCAAGCGUUGUUCGGAAUUACUGGGCGUAAAGGGCGCGUAGGCGGUUCGAUAAGUCCCGUGUGAAAUCCCUCGGCUCAACUGAGGAAUUGCACGGGAAACUGACGGGCUUGAGUUCGGGAGAGGGAAGCGGAAUUCCGGGUGUAGCGGUGAAAUGCGUAGAUAUCCGGAGGAACACCGGUGGCGAAGGCGGCUUCCUGGACCGACACUGACGCUGAGGCGCGAAAGCUAGGGGAGCAAACGGG